AUGGGUAUGCAGGCUCUGAUGAAUGUCCGGUGCACGAAUCUAGUCAACCUUGUAUGCGACUGGCUUGGUGAGAUAUACGACCCCGCCUCCAGGGAAUUUGUGAUUCCGGGACGUGGAAGACUGCCAUUGAACGAGGAAUCCGUGUUCUGCACUUUGGGUGUGCCCCAUGGACAAAUCAAAGUCCCGUAUGAGGUCAAUAACAAGAUCGAGGAAGCGUUGUUCCCCCGUUUGUUUCCUGGGUUGGAAUCCAUGUCGAACACGUCUGUACUGGUAGAUUCGCUGCAGGCCAUGACAACCCAUGGCGAGGUUUUUAAGAUGAAACUACUCAUGUACCUCAUCUCAGCUGUUUUCGCGCCGACCACUUCUCUUUGCCCAAGCAACAAAUGCUUCCCCAUCCUGGCGAAACUGAAAGAUGUGAAGAACAUGAAUUGGUGUAAGUUCAUUGUCGACUUCCUGCAUGAUGCAUUCUCAAGCAAGAUGUACCAGAAGGGUUGUCGACUGCAUUUAAUGCUCAUGUACGUCGACUGUCUUGAUCUGUCCACCAUGGAUUUCACUGGGACAGGAGGCCCGCCGCCUACGCACAAGUUUGUUGUUUCUGCGUGGACUAUCGAUGCUAUCAAGGUUGUGCUUGCUGCAGACAGGGUAACUGAUACCAAAUAUGGAAAACUGCAGCUGAUGGCCAAGCAUGCUAUAGACUACAGCGUGUUUGGAGGGCCUCAAAACUUUGGAAAGUGGAUGGACGUGCACUCAGCUCCGUCUUUCCCUAUUGAGGCGAGGGCACCUGUUGAGCAUCUAAUUGGGCAGUUUGCAUCCGGAAUGACCGGCUUGCUCGGGAAGUUGGUUGAGGGGUGGACGUCCCUUAAUGGCUCCGACAGCGAUGCGGUUGCGAGGCAGUUCACUACAUUUGUCCUAGAAUGGACACAUCGGCCAACUGGUUGCCGUGGCCGGUAUGACUACAAUAGUUCCCAAGAACUUGCUGACACACAAGAUGAACUAGAUGGAGACGCUGGCCUCAGCAAGGAUGACGACGAUGACAUGGAGAACGUGCAACAGGACACUGAUGAUGAUGAACAUGUUGAAGUUCGUGCAGGUGGUAAGAAGGGCAAGGAUGCACCAGAUGUCCCCCCACCGGAGAAAGUCAAUGAACAUACGGCUGCGAGAGGCGAGGGGGGUGUUGCCAUCAAAGAGAGGGAGGGCUCCAGAGGAUGUUUGGCAGGGUUCUCCUGGCAAGAGGUCUAG
rnacentral:rRNA from 1 species